AUUGAACGCUGGCGGCAUGCUUUACACAUGCAAGUCGAACGGUAACAGGCCUUCGGGCGCUGACGAGUGGCGAACGGGUGAGUAAUGCAUCGGAACGUGCCCAGUCGUGGGGGAUAACGCAGCGAAAGCUGUGCUAAUACCGCAUACGAUCUAUGGAUGAAAGCGGGGGACCGUAAGGCCUCGCGCGAUUGGAGCGGCCGAUGUCAGAUUAGGUAGUUGGUGGGGUAAAGGCUCACCAAGCCAACGAUCUGUAGCUGGUCUGAGAGGACGACCAGCCACACUGGAACUGAGACACGGUCCAGACUCCUACGGGAGGCAGCAGUGGGGAAUUUUGGACAAUGGGCGGAAGCCUGAUCCAGCAAUGCCGCGUGCAGGAAGAAGGCCUUCGGGUUGUAAUCUGCUUUUGUACGGAACGAAACGGCGAGCUCUAAUACAGUUUGCUAAUGACGGUACCGUAAGAAUAAGCACCGGCUAACUACGUGCCAGCCGCCGCCGUAACAC
rnacentral:rRNA from 1 species